rnacentral:rRNA from 1 species
AUGGACUCGGAGCACUGGAUCUCGCGCCUGGCCGCCGCCAAGCGGUUCUACGCCGCGCAGCUCGGCCACGCCGAUCGGGCGGGGAUGGACGAGCUGGACAUGGACGGCGACGAGAACGCGGGCAGGCCCGACUUCGCCUGCCCCUACUGCUACGAGGACCACGACGUCGCCUCCCUCGUCGCCCACCUCGAGGAGGACCACCCCUUCGAGCCCCACGCCGCGCCUUGCCCUGUCUGCUCCGAAAAGGUUUCUAAAGAUAUGCUUAACCAUAUCACCAUGCAACAUGGGUACUUGUUCAAGAAUCGCCGCAGGUUGCGCAGAUUUGCUGUUCCAGGCAGCCAGUCGCUCUCUCUGCUGAGCCGGGAUCUACGUGAAGCCCAUUUGCAGGUGCUUCUGGGAGGUGGUGGACAUAGGUCGAGCAACAAUAAUGCCACAAAUAUUUCAGCUGAUCCUCUUCUGUCAUCAUUUGGCCUUAGCUUCCCAACGUUAGAUGCUGAGGAAACAUCAAAAUUGUCUACUCCUGCUCAGAGUGAUGUACCAGUGCUAAAAGAGGCAGCUGCUCGACCAUGGCGGUCAAGUAUUGACUCGUCGCUCACAAGGGAAGAAAGGGAGCAAGCCAGAGUGAGAGCGGCAUUUGUGCAAGACCUGCUGCUCUCCACCCUAUUCAGAGACCAAUAA